UACGGGGGGGGCAAGCGUUGUUCGGAAUUACUGGGCGUAAAGGGCUCGUAGGUGGCCAACUAAGUCAGACGUGAAAUCCCUCGGCUUAACCGGGGAACUGCGUCUGAUACUGGAUGGCUUGAGAUUGGGAGAGGGAUGCGGAAUUCCAGGUGUAGCGGUGAAAUGCGUAGAUAUCUGGAGGAACACCGGUGGCGAAGGCGGCAUCCUGGACCGACACUGACGCUGAGGCGCGAAAGCUAGGGUAGCAAACGGG
rnacentral:rRNA from 1 species